rnacentral:rRNA from 1 species
AUGUUUGCAUGGGAGGAGUCCAACAAUGCAGGGGUUGUGCCUUGCAAUGAAAGGGCCCGUUUCAACAAUGUGACAGGAGAGAGGGUGAUGUUUGUGGCAAACCAACGGACAUACACUGUAAAGUGUUACAAGGGUCGUACAAAGAGCGCUAUGUAUGGGAGAGGUUGGAGGAAGUUCUAUGAUGACAACAAGCUGGGGAAGGGUCAGAUGGUGGUGUUCUUCCUGGAUGAACCUUCGCCUAGGGCAGCUAUUUGUGUGAUCCAGGUGGGCAACGGCUCCGAAGAUGAACAGCCUAUGGAAGAGGGUGAUCCCAUUGAAGAUUCAUAUUCAGAUGAUGAGGAUGGAGAAGCUUCAAGCGAUGGUGGUGAAGGCAUUGUUCGCACUAUGGUGCUUCUGCUUAAUGAGACAGAGGGUUUUCAGCUACAAGGGCCGCUGCCUCUCAGUGAUGAUUUCAUCGGGUUUCCUUUCUUUCACCGCCUCACAAGGACAGACAUUCGUUUGGGCAUGAUGGAGUUUUUAGUAUCUGCAAGUAUGUUUGAACAUGUAUUCAUGAUCAGUUUUUUUUUCAGUAUGCUUUUCAAGUAA